CUCUGUGGAGGAGGUAGUGGGAGAGGUUGCAGCCAAUGCCUUCCGGGAAAUGGUGAAAUAGUGCACUGAAGAGACCCCUUCAGGCUGGGUGGGUGGUGGCAGCGUCCUGCUGCUCCCAUCAACCUCCCUUCCAGUCGCGGAAGCAGAAGUCAGAUCCAGGUGUCCAGCACUGGGCUCCCUAUGGAGGUUCCUGCCUGCCUCUUCCAGCGUCGGGGGCUCCAGGCAUCCCUGGGCUUCUGGCUGCAUUGCUCCAGCCUCUGCCUCCAUCGUCACAUGACCACCCAGCACUUAUAAGGACACCUGUCAUCAGAGGUCCGAGAUUUCGGCAACUCUCCUUAAAUGAGCCGCGAGUAGCCACUGUUUCACCACAGCCCCCUGACGGAGCAUUUUCCCCAGGACCCUCUGCAGUAUCGUCUGGCACCUGCCCAACUGAGGUAGGUGAGCAAGGAAGCUCUUGGGACCCCCGGGGGUCUGCUCGAUCUCCCCCUGGCAGCUCACCAUCUGCAGCGCACAUCCAUACCUUCCAGGAACACUGCAGGGCACAGGGCCGGGGUCCCGGGAACAGGGCAAGCCACCACAGGAUGGAGCAGGGGGGCCUCUCGAUGACGGGCUGAGCUGGGCUGGGCUGAUCCCCAGCCCCCAAAGAAAAAACAGCAAAUUUGAGAGAGGCUGUGGCUGUUGUGGAUUGUGGGUAAUUUCUGCCUUUUCAAAUGUAUUCUUGGAAAAUUUGAAGAGGGUUAAAAUAAAAAAGCACAAUUGAUUUGC